AGUGAACGCUGGCGGUAGGCCUAACACAUGCAAGUCGAACGGCAGCACAGUAAGAGCUUGCUCUUACGGGUGGCGAGUGGCGGACGGGUGAGGAAUACAUCGGAAUCUACUUUUUCGUGGGGGAUAACGUAGGGAAACUUACGCUAAUACCGCAUACGACCUACGGGUGAAAGCAGGGGAUCUUCGGACCUUGCGCGAUUGAAUGAGCCGAUGUCGGAUUAGCUAGUUGGCGGGGUAAAGGCCCACCAAGGCGACGAUCCGUAGCUGGUCUGAGAGGAUGAUCAGCCACACUGGAACUGAGACACGGUCCAGACUCCUACGGGAGGCAGCAGUGGGGAAUAUUGGACAAUGGGCGUAAGCCUGAUCCAGCAAUGCCGCGUGGGUGAAGAAGGCCUUCGGAUUGUAAAGCCCUUUUGUUGGGAAAGAAAAGCAGCAGAUUAAUACCCCGCUGUUCUGGCGGUACCGAAAGAAUAAGCACCGGCUAACUUCGUG
rnacentral:rRNA from 1 species